rnacentral:rRNA from 1 species
GACGAACGUUGGCGGCGUGCUUAAUACAUGCAAGUCAACUGAAGCAGUGGUAGCAAUCUCGCUGUGGAGGUGGCGCACGGGUGAGUAACACGUAGGUAAUCUGCCUUCAGGUCUGGCAUAACUCCGGGAAACCGGGGCUAAUAGCAGAUGAUGCAGCGGCUCGACAUCGAGACAGUUGUUAAAGCUAUGGCGCCUGAAGAUGAGCCUGCGUCUGAUUAGCUAGUUGGCGGGGUAACGGCCCACCAAGGCAACGAUCAGUAGCUGGUCUGAGAGGAUGAUCAGCCACACUGGAACGGAGACACGGUCCAGACUCCUACGGGAGGCAGCAGUAAGGAGUAUUGCGCAAUGGGAGAAAUCCUGAAGCAGCAACGCCGCGUGAGGGACGAAGGGCUUUUGCUUGUAAACCUCUGUAGUGAGAGAAAAAAAUCCCAAUCUUUGGGACAUGAUGGUAGCUCAAAAGUAAGCCCCGGCUAACUACGUG